CGGGGACCCGCACAAGUAGCGGAGCAUGUGGUUUAAUUCGAAGCAACGCGAAGAACCUUACCUAAGCUUGACAUCCCAAUGACAUCUCCUUAAUCGGAGAGUUCCCUUCGGGGACAUUGGUGACAGGGGGUGCAUGGUUGUCGUCAGCUCGUGUCGUGAGAUGUUGGGUUAAGUCCCGCAACGAGCGCAACCCUUGUCUUUAGUUGCCAUCAUUAAGUUGGGCACUCUAGAGAGACUGCCAGGGAUAACCUGGAGGAAGGUGGGGAU
rnacentral:rRNA from 1 species